rnacentral:misc_RNA from 1 species
UGCUAGUACUGGGUUAAAAACAAGGGGCCAAGGUUCUAAGCAUGGUACGCUCCAAUCCCUUAAAUGAGAAAUGCUUCCACCAAACUUAUUCUCUUUCAAAUCAUCCCCCUUCCAAAUGACAGUAAAUUCGAUGAAGAACAGUUUGCCAGCAGCAAUAACCUAUGAAUUAAAACUUCAUCUUAUAAGAACAUCGGCUAUGAAUAAUAGCAACAUUCAUCAUUAUACCAAUAAAAUAUCUGUUUUUCCUCUGAAAAGAUCAUAAAUAAAAACUCCAAGUUCCUGAACGAAACCAUCCACAUGAUAAACUUCACUGCCUAUAACAACUUUCUAGUAAUAGGGCAUGUAUCGCAUUGGUCUUCUGAAUCUAGGAACCUUCCCAUAUCCAUAUGGGGAGUAGAAAUAAG